UACGAAGGUCCCAAGCGUUAUCCGGAUUUAUUGGGCUUAAAGGGCGCGUAGGUGGCUUGGUAAGUUUGAUGUGAAAGCUCAGGGCUCAACCCUGAAAUGGCAUUGAAUACUACUGAGCUGGAGGUUUGGAGGGGGGACUGGAAUUCUCGGUGUAGCAGUGAAAUGCGUAGAUAUCGAGAGGAACACCAGUGGCGAAGGCGAGUCCCUGGACAACACCUGACACUGAGGCACGAAAGCUAGGGGAGCAAACAGG
rnacentral:rRNA from 1 species